rnacentral:rRNA from 1 species
AUUGAACGCUGGCGGCAUGCCUUACACAUGCAAGUCGAACGGCAGCAUGGGUGCUUGCACCUGAUGGCGAGUGGCGAACGGGUGAGUAAUGCAUCGGAACGUACCCGGAAGUGGGGGAUAACGUAGCGAAAGUUACGCUAAUACCGCAUAUUCUGUGAGCAGGAAAGCGGGGGAUCGCAAGACCUCGCGCUUCCGGAGCGGCCGAUGUCGGAUUAGCUAGUUGGCGGGGUAAAGGCCCACCAAGGCAACGAUCCGUAGCGGGUCUGAGAGGAUGAUCCGCCACACUGGGACUAAGACACGGCCCAGACUCCUACGGGAGGCAGCAGUGGGGAAUUUUGGACAAUGGGGGCAACCCUGAUCCAGCCAUGCCGCGUGAGUGAAGAUGGCCUUCGGGUUGUAAAGCUCUUUCGGCUGGGAAGAAAUCGCAUCUCCUAAUACGGGGUGUGGAUGACGGUACCAGCAUAAGAAGCACCGGCUAACUACGUGCCAGCAGCCGCAGUAAGAC